rnacentral:lncRNA from 1 species
AUGGAGAGUCCCCGCUCCCAACGCUCCACGGCUGGUGCACAGCUCUGUGUCCCUCAGGGAGCUCAUGCUGGUGUUGAUGCUGCACCAUCCGUGGCCUCGGUCUUGACCUUUCACUGCCAGCCCUUGUGUGCCUCACUCUUCCAUCUCUUUGCAGGGAUCAACACCACAGAUAUGGCAGUCGGCAUGUCCCCGGCUCUCCCUACCUCCAACUCCACCACUGCAGGCACCAUCCCUCCCUCCAGACCUGAAACCCCCUCCCCAGCAGUGAAGAUGGGUGCCUCCACAGUCAGUACCACUCUGCAGGAGAAGGGUGGCACAGCCCACAGCACUCCUGGGUCAGCUGCCGGCACCACGGUGCAGCCUGACCCCACUCCCACAGAGCUGCGGCUCACCACUGUCACCCCAGCUGCAAUCCCCAAGACACCCGACUGUGCUGAGACGACCCUUGUCACGUCUGUGGGGACCAGCUCGGCCCUAGCCACCACCUCGUUUGGAAUCAAAGCAAGGACACUGUCUUCCCCCACCUCCAUUCUUCUCUCCCCGACUCAGGUGGCCACCACACAUGGCACCAGCCAAAGGCCAGCUGUGACCACGCUGCUCAGCAGCACAUCCCCAGGCACUGGCAGUGCCUCUUCUCUGACAGCCACCUCAGAUGAGCCGUCAACCACCCCGUCAGACACCACGGCUGCCCUCACGACCAGCAUGGAGGCCACUGGGAGCACCCCCAUCACCAGCCAGCCCAAUGGGACCACGACCAGCACCAGCCCUGGGACCACCGCCUUGGAUGUGACAGAGACCGUGUCCCUGGCUUUUCCUACCUCUCUGACAUCUAUGGAGACCUCAUCAGUGGUGUCCACCACUGACUCCAGCACCACAGGCACCAUCCCUCCCUCCAGCCCUGAAACAGGAGCCUCCACGCUGGAGACAUCCCUGGGGACUGACAGAUCUUCACCUCCCAUCGCAUCUUCCCCGACUGCACCAGCAUCGCCAGACACUUCGGCAGAGUCCUCGAUGACCACAGGGGACACCACAGGCACCUCUGAUACCAGCACAGGGUACAGCACUCCCAGCCAGCCUGUCGAGACCACGUUUGGGAUCACCUCUGGUACCUCCACUGUGACUAUGGAGACAACCCCAGGCACCUCGACAGUACCUGAGACCUCCAGUGCAGCCACGGGCACGGAGCCCUCUUCCCCCACCACCAACUCAACCCAGACUACAGACGAUACCCUCAGCACCCCCACAGACCUGACAACGACAGCGUUCUGCCCCACCACUGCAUCCAGCACCGGUCCGUCUUACCUCUUUCUGUCGCUGCAGCUAACCGUGCCCAAGGACCUGGGGAACACCACAAUGCAGGAGCUGCUGUUGUCCAAGCUCCGUGAGGAACUGCAGACGACGUUCCCAUGUGCUGGCCUGGGGGUGGAGUGGCGAGGGGAGAGGAGGACCUGACCACUGCUCCUUGCCCGGCCAGGACCUUCAGGGCUGGCACCCCUGUCAACUGGCAAGCCUUCUGCUCCCAGCUCCUUACUUCAUGGUAGUGCAGCCUUUUGGGGUGACCUGUACAGCUCCUCCUAAGCCUGGGACCCCCUGUCCUUCACUGCACACCCCCAGAGGACCCCCAGUGGGCUGGAGUGCCCCUUUCCCUUCCUGUAGCCUGUCUGUAGAGCCCGAGACCUCCCACCGCCCUGCACCAGACCUGCCUCCCACGGUGGGACCCCCCCAGAGCUGCUGGGAGGAGGGGACCCGGCAGGGCUAGGCCUCAGCCAUGAAAACCACCCUGGGGACCGACGGAUGAGAGAAAGGAGACCUGGAGCCACUGGUACUGCUGUGCUCUGUGAUGAUGACCUCAGAAGAUCUGCAAUCUGGGGAGGCUGCGGUGCCCAAGAUCUCUCAGAGAUGGUCCAGGGCUGUUUCACAGCCAGAGUGGGCCAGGAUGGAGCCCGGGGAUGCCUCUGGGAAGGAGGCAGGAGAGAAAAACCCCUCUCUACCCCUGGAGUCUCAUCCUGGGACCGGCCACGCUCCUGAGCCCUGUGGCGCAGAGGGCGAGUGAAGCCAGAGCCCGGCAAACCAGCUCUCCCCUCCUUCCUGGGGAGUCAUUGACAGAGAAGCACAACCAUGCCAACACGGAUGGGGAACAGAGGGAAAUUCCACCUUUUUCGUGCCAAAGAUGAUGACUGAUUUUUUUUUUUACAAGUUGACUUCCCUGAUUUUCAGCGUCGCCAUCUAGCAGAGGGACUGGCAAGGAAAAUUGGCUGAGUCCCCAAAAGCUUCGCAGCAGAGAGACGGUCUCAGGGCUGUCCCCUCCUGGCAGCGGCCACCACAGACAUUCCUGAGGACGGUUCAGCACCCCGACAGGCUGGGGGUCCCUGCUUUGGUGCUCUCCACCCCAUGGCGCCUCACAGCUGCCCAGGCAGCUGAGCUCACCAUGGGGCCGUGGAAAUCCCGUGGG